AUGAAGCAAACAGAAAAAAGCAGAAGACAUGGCUACAGCCCUUCCUUAGUCAAUGCUAGAGAGAAGUGGUUUGUAAAUGUCAAGCACAGAUGAGCUAUAAGAUAAUGAACUUUGAUGAACCUGGACUCCAGAGGAGAGGGACAACUAGAUGACCCUAUCAAGUGAAACAGAAGUUGAGUUUGCCCACCUGAACACCAUCAAAAAAGACUGACAUUUACCAAAGUUCGUCGCUAUCCCAUUCCCAGCUGGCUGUAUCUGGGAUCCAGUGCUCUGUCCCAGCCCCGUUCCUGCUGUGCUACCGGUCUUCAGCGGCAUCUCACUGGCUCUGCACCUCUCCAGGCUCUCCUCCCUCGAUUUGAAGCUGUUCAGCACAAGAAUCUUAUCAGAAAAUCAAGCUGGAAUUAUACACACUUUUUCACACGCUGGUUAUUUAGUUUUGAUUAAAUUGGAUAAGGAUAGAAAAAAAUUUAAACAUAGAUUAGUAAAUUCAGUUUUGAAAAUCAUAAAAAAAGUUAAAGUGUUGGGCAGUAGGGGGCAGAAGAACAGCAUCAGACAAGGAGACAGAAAUUACAUACAGCAUGAGAUUCCAGGAACUAGAUAUAUAUUUUGAGCCAUUGUGGAUUUUAUUAUACAGUAUUUAUGCACUCUGCUACCUAAUGGAUUUAACUGUCCCAUGAAAUUAUUAUACGGCAGCAUGGGGACUUGCUGGAUAAAAUGGAAAUGCUCACUCACAUUUAUGACCCACAUAUGACUCAAACGUAGAACAUAUAUAUCAUAAUGCCUUCUAAUAGCAUCACUGUAGUUGACAAGCAAUUGUUUUCACUUUAAUGUUAUAUAUGCCUAAUUUUAGGAUUUAAUCCUACUACUUGAAUCAAAAUUGUAAUCUGGCAAAAUACAAUGUCUGAGUGCAAACUGUCAGCCUGGAAAAUAAUUAUUUCUCAUGCAGAUCCAAAAUGGUGUGCGGGGUAAGAGCAGAUCAGAAAAAUACUGCAGGUGGCUGAAAAUGACCCGGGAUUUUUUUUUUUUUAAUUUUGAAAGGAUGGAACAUGUAUUAUUUAACUGACUGAUCCAGAAUAGGAUUCUUGAAACAGCUAGGAGCAUUAAUACAAUCCUUCUGAGUGACAGGGUACCCUUUCCCACUGAACUAAACCCUGCAGGAUAUGCCAAAAGGAAGGAUUUAAAAUCCAUUAAGAAAUCUUUUGUGGAGUAAGGCAUUUGGUUAGACAUGAUAUUCCCAGCCAAACUGAAGGUGUCCUGCUGAAUUAAGACUUCUUUUCUUGCAUGCUGGAUGAGAAUAGCACACCAGGACAAAAUUAAACAAGGCAAUGCCUCUGAAGUUCCUCAUGUUCUGGGCACAGUCACCUGAACAUGUUAUUGUUUAGAAACUCAACCUUACUUCCAUUAGUUUCAAUGGGAGUCUUGCUAUUAAUUUCAAUGGAAGGAGGAUCAUGCUAUUUGUAUGCCCUGUGGUAGACAUAAUAGUGCCUAUAAGCACACACCGUUCUGCCAACACUCUUGGAAUUAGUCACAGUUUAUAUGCCUGCAUUCAGGCAUGGGUAGAUGUGAUAUCUUUUAUUAUAUCAACUAAAUUAUUAGAUCUAAAUUAUUAGAUCUUUUAUUAGAUCAACUAAAUACUUGGAAAAAUUGUUCUUUGCAAGCUUUUGGGCACAAACACCCUUCUUCAGGCAUAGGGAGAGUUUGGUGGUAUAAUAUGUGCUCUCCUGGGUAGAAUAGAAGCCAAUAUGCAAAAUGCAGGUCUGUGAAAAUGCAAAUGCAUGGCAGUGAAGAUCAGGGGGAAUGGGGGACAAUAGAUAUCAGACAGGUAGGUGGGGGCAGGAGGAAAGUUGACCUGGUGAUAGAAUGUAGCUGGUAAAAUGCAGACAGGUUACCUGGGGUUCUUGGAUGUUAGGCAGGUUAUAAUAUGCCAUAAAUCCAAUGUUUAU